GGGAUUCUUUUGGCAGAGGAAUUGAAGGGUUAGAAGCAGUUAGGUGCACAAAUGGCAAGGAAGGUGCACAUCACUGCAUUGGUUACUGAAAAGGAGUAUGGAUACAUGUGAAAAAACAAAUAAAGGAAAUUUGUACUGGAUAAUUUGUCUUUGUGCCAAAAUCAUGAGUUGCUUAGGUGAAAUACAAAUCUGUUUUUAUUA